rnacentral:rRNA from 1 species
GAUUUCAAGAUUCUAAGAGCAAACGGUGGAUGCCUUGGCAUCUGGAGCCGAAGAAGGACGUAUAAAUCUGCGAUAAGCCUCGGGGAGCUGAUAAUAGAGCCUUGAUCCGAGGAUCUCCGAAUGGGGAAACCCCGCCAGGCCCUUUGGGUGACCUGGUGACUCCCGCCUGAAUAUAUAGGGCGGGUAGAGGGAACGUGGGGAAGUGAAACAUCUCAGUACCCACAGGAAGAGAAAGCAAAAGCGAUUCCGUUAGUAGUGGCGAGCGAAACCGGAAGAGGCCAAACCGAUCAUGUGUGAUAUCCGGUAGGAGUUGCAUGGUCGGGGUUGCGGGACUUUCCGUACAGUUCUACCGAGCUGUGAGGGCAAUGAGCGCGAUAUAGACGAAUGGUCUUGAAAGGCCAGUCAUAGAGGGUGCGAACCCCGUAGUCGAAAUGUCGUCGCCUGUCCGGAGAGUAUCCCAAGUAGCACGGGGCCCGAGAAAUCCCGUGUGAAUCUGUCAGGACCACCUGAUAAGCCUAAAUACUCCCAGAUGACCGAUAGCGGACAAGUACCGUGAGGGAAAGGUGAAAAGUACCCCGGGAGGGGAGUGAAAUAGUACCUGAAACCGUUUGCUUACAAACCGUUGGAGCACCCUUGUUGGUGUGACAGCGUGCCUUUUGAAGAAUGAGCCUGCGAGUUAGUGAUAUGUGGCGAGGUUAACCCGUGAGGGGCAGCCGUAGCGAAAGCGAGUCUUAAUAGGGCGUAUGAGUCGCAUGUUCUAGACCCGAAGCGAAGUGAUCUAUCCAUGGCCAGGUUGAAGCGACGGUAAGACGUCGUGGAGGACCGAACCCACUUCAGUUGAAAAUGGAGGGGAUGAGCUGUGGAUAGGGGUGAAAGGCCAAUCAAACUUCGUGAUAGCUGGUUCUCUCCGAAAUGCAUUUAGGUGCAGCGUUGCGUGUUUCUUGCCGGAGGUAGAGCUACUGGAUGGACGAUGGGCCCCAAAAGGUUACUGACUUCAGCCAAACUCCGAAUGCCGGUAAGUGAGAGCGCAGCAGUGAGACGGUGGGGGAUAAGCUUCAUCGUCGAGAGGGAAACAACCCAGACCACCAUCUAAGGUCCCUAAGCGCGUGCUAAGUGGGAAAGGAUGUGGAGUUGCAUAGACAACCAGGAGGUUGGCUUAGAAGCAGCCACCCUUGAAAGAGUGCGUAAUAGCUCACUGGUCAAGUGAUUCCGCGCCGACAAUGUAACGGGGCUCAAGCACGCCACCGAAGUUGUGGCAUUUAUAUUAUAGGCAGGCCUUCGUGGUCCAGCCGUAUGGAUGGGUAGGAGAGCGUCGUGUGGCCAGCGAAGCGGCGGUGUGAACCAGCCGUGGAGGCCACACGAGUGAGAAUGCAGGCAUGAGUAGCGAAAGACGGGUGAGAAACCCGUCCUCCGAAAGACCAAGGGUUCCAGGGCCAGGCUAAUCCGCCCUGGGUAAGUCGGGACCUAAGGCGAGGCCGACAGGCGUAGUCGAUGGACAACGGGUUGAUAUUCCCGUACCGAUGAAGAACCGCCCAAGACAAUCCAGUAAUGCUAAGUGUCUGAAUCCUUGAUUCGAUCCCUUCGGGGUGACGGUCUUGGCCUAGCACACGACCCUACGCUGGGGCGUUUAGCGUAUUAACAGGUGUGACGCAGGAAGGUAGCUGAGCCGGGCGAUGGUUGUCCCGGUCUAAGGAUGUAGGGCAGAAGAUAGGCAAAUCCGUCUUCUAUGUAGCCUGAGACCCGAUGGGUAGUCCUCACGGACGAAAUCAGUGAUCCUAUGCUGCCAAGAAAAGCAUCGACGCGAGGUUCCAAUCGCCCGUACCCCAAACCGACUCAGGUGGUCAGGUAGAGAAUACUAAGGAGAUCGAGAGAAUCGUGGUUAAGGAACUCGGCAAAAUGCCCCCGUAACUUCGGGAGAAGGGGGGCCUGAGGCGUGUAGGGAUUUACUCCUGAAGCGUUUGAAGGCCGCAGAGACCAGUGGGAAGCGACUGUUUACUAAAAACACAGGUCCGUGCUAAGUCGCAAGACGAUGUAUACGGACUGACGCCUGCCCGGUGCUGGAAGGUUAAGAGGAACGGUUAGCACGCAAGUGCGAAGCUGAGAAUUUAAGCCCCAGUAAACGGCGGUGGUAACUAUAACCAUCCUAAGGUAGCGAAAUUCCUUGUCGGGUAAGUUCCGACCUGCACGAAUGGCGUAACGACUUCCCAGCUGUCUCAACCGCGAACUCGGCGAAAUUGCACUACGAGUAAAGAUGCUCGUUACGCGCAGCAGGACGGAAAGACCCCGUGACCUUUACUACAGCUUGGUAUUGGUGUUCGGUGUGGCUUGUGUAGGAUAGGUGGGAGACUGUGAAGCUCGGACGCUAGUUCGGGUGGAGUCAUUGUUGAAAUACCACUCUGGUCACUCUGGAUAUCUAACUUCGAACCGUAAUCCGGUUCAGGGACAGUGCCUGGUGGGUAGUUUAACUGGGGCGGUUGCCUCCUAAAAAGUAACGGAGGCGCCCAAAGGUUCCCUCAACCUGGUUGGUAAUCAGGUGUCGAGUGUAAGUGCACAAGGGAGCUUGACUGUGAGACUGACAAGUCGAGCAGGGACGAAAGUCGGGACUAGUGAUCCGGCAGUGGCUUGUGGAAGCGCUGUCGCUCAACGGAUAAAAGGUACCUCGGGGAUAACAGGCUGAUCUUGCCCAAGAGUCCAUAUCGACGGCAUGGUUUGGCACCUCGAUGUCGGCUCGUCGCAUCCUGGGGCUGGAGUAGGUCCCAAGGGUUGGGCUGUUCGCCCAUUAAAGCGGUACGCGAGCUGGGUUUAGAACGUCGUGAGACAGUUCGGUCCCUAUCCGCUGCGCGCGUAGGAAAUUUGAGAAGAUCUAUCCCUAGUACGAGAGGACCGGGAUGGACGAACCUCUGGUGUGUCAGUUGUUCCGCCAGGAGCACCGCUGAUUAGCUACGUUCGGAACGGAUAACCGCUGAAAGCAUCUAAGCGGGAAGCCGGCUUCGAGAUGAGAUUUCCAUCCCUUUUAGGGUGAAGGCUCCCGGCUAGACUACCGGGUUGAUAGGCAGGAUGUGGAAGCGAGGACUAAAGACUCGUGGAGCUGACCUGUACUAAUAAGCCGAUAUCUUGAAAACACUUUGCUUGCGUCCACUAUGUGGUUCCCGAUAUACGGUCGGGU